AUUAUCAGUUUGUUUUUCUCAGUGAGACAAAGAUGCACUUAUGGGAUCGAGCUGUACCCUUCGAAUAAUCUACUUUCUUGUUCUCUCCAGUUCUUUUUUGCUAUUUUCUUUCUCCCUUUUUCUGUCCUUGUUGGUAGCUUUGAGUUUGCAUUGCUCUUUCUCUCUAGUUUCUUUGUCUAAUUUUGAUAAUUCCGUUUUUCUUACGUCACUGUCUUGUUUGCUACUCCGUCUUCAACGCUCGAUGAUCCAUUCUGUCUCUGAAUUUCGUGAGUGGAGGUUGUAAAUUUAACUUUUCCUUUGAUUCCAAUUUUAUUUAGCUUAUGCUAAAUUUUUCUAUUAUUACAAUAUGUAGUUGAUCAGAGACAGAUUUCAUUCAUCACAAGUUGUGAUAUUAUUAUUAUUUUCUUUAUUUUUUUUUUAUUUCCUUUUUAAAUAUGUAAAUUUUCUUGUUUGUUUUUAAAAAAAAAAAAAAGAAAAGUAAUCAUGUCCGAAAAUUUAAUUGAGUAUUCAUUCUAGCUGGCCUAAGUUAUGGCAAUUUAUUUAUAUUUGUUGGAAACCUCAUUCAUCACAUAUGUAUCCAUAGUAAUUUCUACAAUUUCCGCUGUACAGCGGUCAUAGACUCGUAGACUCAUAGACUCGUAGACUCGUAGUAUCACAGGAUGUCUUAGUUAUGGCCAUGGAAGCUGAAUCCUUGCUGACCAACUCAUCACAAGGAAACCAAUAUUUCCAGAAAAGAUCUAAAUUCGCCGUAAAAAGGAUACUUCAAGAACUUCUUGUGCAGUGAAAAAUUAAUAAGUGAAAAAUUUGAAUAAAGUGUACGGAGGCCUCCUCACUUCAAUACACCAGGUAUUUACGAAACAACCAUAUUAAUUUAUGGAAAAUUCACAGGCAACUACUUCGCAAAAAUAAAAGGGACAGGAUAAUAAAUAAAUUUGUAAUUACUUGAUUUAAAUUUUGUUUAUUUUUUGGAAAUUCUAUUUAUUUGAUCUAUUAUGUAUAUUAAAUUGCAAACAUGAUUACAA